UACGUAGGGUGCGAGCGUUGCCCGGAUUUAUUGGGCGUAAAGGGCGCGUAGGCGGCCACGCACGUCCGUUGUGAAAUCGCCCGGCUCAACUGGGCGGGGUCAGCGGAUACGGUGUGGCUCGAGCAAGCUAGGGGGCAAUGGAACUCCCGGUGUAGUGGUGGAAUGCGUAGAUAUCGGGAAGAACACCAGUGGCGAAGGCGGUUGCCUGGAGCUUUGCUGACGCUGAUGCGCGAAAGCGUGGGGAGCGAUCCGG
rnacentral:rRNA from 1 species